GAGUUUGAUCGUGGCUCAGAGCGAACGCUGGCGGCAGGCUUAACACAUGCAAGUCGAGCGGGCGUAGCAAUACGUCAGCGGCAGACGGGUGAGUAACACGUGGGAACGUACCUUUGGUUCGGAACAACUGAGGGAAACUUCAGCUAAUACCGGAUAAGCCCUAACGGGGAAAGAUUAUCGCCGAAAGAUCGGCCCGCGUCUGAUUAGCUAGUUGGUGAGGUAAUGGCUCACCAAGGCGACGAUCAGUAGCUGGUCUGAGAGGAUGAUCAGCCACACUGGGACUGAGACACGGCCCAGACUCCUACGGGAGGCAGCAGUGGGGAAUAUUGGACAAGUGGGGGCAACCCUGAUCCAGCCAUGCCGCGUGAGUGAUGAAGGCCCUAGGGUUGUAAAGCUCUUUGUGCGGGAAGAUAAUGACGGUACCGCAAGAAUAAGCCCCGAUAACUUCGUGCCAGCAGCCGCGGUAAC
rnacentral:rRNA from 1 species